GAGGAAUAUUGGUCAAUGGGCGCAAGCCUGAACCAGCCAAGUAGCGUGCAGGAAGACGGCCCUAUGGGUUGUAAACUGCUUUUAUACGAGAAUAAUUUGAUGCACGUGUGCGUUAUUGCAUGUAUCGUAUGAAUAAGGACCGGCUAAUUCCGUGCCAGCAGCCGCGGUAAUACGGAAGGUCCAGGCGUUAUCCGGAUUUAUUGGGUUUAAAGGGAGUGCAGGCGGUUUGUUAAGCGUGUUGUGAAAUUUAGAUGCUCAACAUUUAACUUGCAGCGCGAACUGUCAGACUUGAGUACACACAACGUAUGCGGAAUUCAUGGUGUAGCGGUGAAAUGCUUAGAUAUCAUGAAGAACUCCGAUUGCGAAGGCAGCAUACGGGAGUGUAACUGACGCUUAAGCUCGAAGGUGCGGGUAUCGAACAGGAUUAGAUACCCUGGUAGUCCGCACAGUAAACGAUGGAUGCCCGCUGUUAGCGCCUGGCGUUAGCGGCUAAGCGAAAGCAUUAAGCAUCCCACCUGGGGAGUACGCCGGCAACGGUG
rnacentral:rRNA from 1 species